rnacentral:rRNA from 1 species
AUUGAACGCUGGCGGCAGGCCUAACACAUGCAAGUCGAGCGGAUGAAGGGAGCUUGCUCCUGGAUUCAGCGGCGGACGGGUGAGUAAUGCCUAGGAAUCUGCCUGGUAGUGGGGGAUAACGUCCGGAAACGGGCGCUAAUACCGCAUACGUCCUGAUGGAGAAAGUGGGGGAUCUUCGGACCUCACGCUAUCAGAUGAGCCUAGGUCGGAUUAGCUAGUUGGUGGGGUAAAGGCCUACCAAGGCGACGAUCCGUAACUGGUCUGAGAGGAUGAUCAGUCACACUGGAACUGAGACACGGUCCAGACUCCUACGGGAGGCAGCAGUGGGGAAUAUUGGGCAAUGGGCGAAAGCCUGAUCCAGCCAUGCCGCGUGUGUGAAGAAGGUCUUCGGAUUGUAAAGCACUUUAAGUUGGGAGGAAGGGCAGUAAGUUAAUACCUUGCUGUUUUGACGUUACCAACAGAAUAAGCACCGGCUAACUUCGUG